GGAUGUUGUAGGAAAUGUAGGUCAGGGUCAGGCAACAAUUCCAAAGCCUUUCCUUUCUCUUGGUACUCGAGGAAAUUACAUUCGGAAGUUGUGACGAAAUGGAAGGAGGAAAAGAGCAAGGAAUGUUGGUGGUAACCGGGUUGAUGGCUCACCAAAACCCACUGGAGCAAUUGCAAGCCAAGUUCAAGGAAGUUGAGAAGGGGUUCAAGGCUUGGCUAGACAAACAGUCCAUGCCAGUCGAGGCGGCCGUGGUAACCGCCACAGGCGCCGUUCAGGGUGCUGCUAUUGGUGCUUUAAUGGGCACCCUCACCAAAGAUGUUUCCUCUUCUUUUCCGACUCCUCCUCAGGCUUCCCUCAAUCAUCAGGCAAUGGCUUCUCUCAAGCAAGCCCAGGCUCUAUCAGGAGCUCCCUGGGUACAAGCUCGUAAUUUUGCUGUGAUGACUGGUGUCAAUGCUGGCCUAGCUUGUGUUAUGAAAAGAUUGAGAGGGAAGGAGGAUGUUCAAUCUAGCAUGGUGGCGGCUUUUGGUUCUGGGGCCAUGUUUUCUCUAGUGAGUGGCAUGGGCGGCCCGAAUCAGGCUGCAAAUGCAGUCACUUCUGGACUUUUUUUCGCGCUCAUUCAAGGCGUGCUUUUCCAGGUUAAUCAAUCAUCUCGUUAUGCCAAUCGAGUUCGGACAAAAGUUAUCACAACCAGCUGUCGAGGACAUGUACUAUUCCCGAACAAGAUCCAUGUUAAAUAGUCUCGGGCUCCAGAACUACGAGAAGAAUUUCAAGAAAGGCUUGUUAACUGAUAACACAUUGCCUUUGCUCACGGAUAGUGCACUUAGAGAUGUGAAAAUACCACCCGGACCGAGGCUCCUUAUUCUCGAUCAUGUUCAAAGUUUUAGCUCCACCUUCUAAGAAGGGUAAUUAUGACUGUCGAACUUGAUCUCACUUUCAUCAGGUUUGUCGUCUCUAGAGACCCAAAAUUGAGAGAGAAGUGAGGAAGCCGUGGGUGAAGUUUGAUCAUCAAAGUCAGUUCAUCAUAAGGGGCGUUUUCAUAUAUCUCGGAAACUACAGAGAAGGUGUGUGUUUUUUUGUUUUGUUUUCAUUGAAAUGAAAUUGUUUUUGUCAUUGUUUUGGUAUAUCUCCAUGCUAAACAUAGGAUGAUAUAUUCAAGAGCUUGAAUGCAACAAUUUUGAUAUUUGCAUA